rnacentral:rRNA from 1 species
CCUACGGGAGGCUGCAGUGGGGAAUAUUGCACAAUGGGGGAAACCCUGAUGCAGCGACGCCGCGUGAGUGAAGAAGUAAUUCGUUAUGUAAAGCUCUAUCAGCAGGGAAGAAAAUGACGGUACCUGAGUAAGAAGCCCCGGCUAACUACGUGCCAGCAGCCGCGGUAAUACGUAGGGGGCAAGCGUUAUCCGGAUUUACUGGGUGGAAAGGGAGCGUAGGCGGCAGUGCAAGUCUGGAGUGAAAGGCGGGGGCUCAACCCCCGGACUGCUCUGGAAACUGUACGGCUGGAGUGCAGGAGAGGUAAGUGGAAUUCCUAGUGUAGCGGUGAAAUGCGUAGAUAUUAGGAGGAACACCAGUGGCGAAGGCGGCUUACUGGACUGUAACUGACGUUGAGGCUCGAAAGCGUGGGGAGCAAACAGGAUUAGAUACCCCUGUAGUC